rnacentral:rRNA from 1 species
ACUUGUACGGGGGAGUUUGUGAAAAAGGAUCAUUAAUUUGGUUUCUCCUUUAUAAGCUUCCCAAAGAGAGGGUAAGACGUUACAAGAACGAUCUUUGCCUUAUAACAUACCCUUCUUUUAAAAAUGUUUAUGAACGUCAAAAAAUGUAGGCUCGCCUUAAAAACGUGUAGCUGAAAUUAUAAAAUUAUACAACUUUUAACAACGGAUCUCUUGGCUCUCGCAUCGAUGAAGAACGCAGCGAAAUGCGAUAAGUAAUGUGAAUUGCAGAAUUCAGUGAAUCAUCGAAUCUUUGAACGCACCUUGCGCUCCCUGGUAUUCCGGGGAGCAUGCCUGUUUGAGUGUCAUUAAAUUCUCAACCUCGAAUCGUUUGUUUACAGACUUUACGAGGCUUGGACUUUGGAGUGUGCCGGUCUCUAACGAGAUCGACUCCUCUUUAAAUGCAUUAGCUGGAACCUCUUGUGGACCAGACUACGGUGUGAUAAUUAUCUACGCUGUUGGUCUUGUGAAGCACUUU